rnacentral:tRNA from 1 species
GGGGUCAUAGCUCAAAUGGAUAGAGCGCCUGCCGAUGCUUGCAGUUCUUGUCAUGGGUUCAAGUCCCAUUGAUUCCA